rnacentral:rRNA from 1 species
CCUACGGGAGGCAGCAGUGAGGAAUAUUGGUCAAUGGGCGCGAGCCUGAACCAGCCAAGUAGCGUGAAGGAUGACUGCCCUACGGGUUGUAAACUUCUUUUAUAAAGGAAUAAAGUGAGGCACGUGUGCCUUUUUGUAUGUACUUUAUGAAUAAGGAUCGGCUAACUCCGUGCCAGCAGCCGCGGUAAUACGGAGGUCUCAAGCGUUGUUCGGAAUCACUGGGCGUAAAGCGUGCGUAGGCUGUUUCGUAAGUCGUGUGUGAAAGUUUGCGGCUCAACCGUAAAAUUGCAAUUGAUACUGGCAGUCUUGAGUACAGUUGAGGUAGGCGGAAUUCGUGGUGUAGCGGUGAAAUGCUUAGAUAUCACGAAGAACUCCGAUUGCGAAGGCAGCUUACUAAACUGCAACUGACAUUGAUGCUCGAAAGUGUGGGUAUCAAACAGGAUUAGAUACCCGGGUAGUC